rnacentral:rRNA from 1 species
GACGAACGCUGGCGGCGUGCUUAACACAUGCAAGUCGAACGGUGAAGCGCCUUCCUUUUUGGUGGGUGUGGAUGAGUGGCGAACGGGUGAGUAACACGUGAGUAACCUGCCCCCUUCUUCUGGAUAACCGCAUGAAAGUGUGGCUAAUACGGGAUAUUCUGGUUCUGUCGCAUGAUGGGUCUGGGAAAGAUAUUGUUUCGGUGGGGGAUGGGCUCGCGGCCUAUCAGCUUGUUGGUGGGGUGAUGGCCUACCAAGGCGGUGACGGGUAGCCGGCCUGAGAGGGUGGACGGUCACACUGGGACUGAGACACGGCCCAGACUCCUACGAGAGGCAGCAGUGGGGAAUAUUGCACAAUGGGCGCAAGCCUGAUGCAGCGACGCCGCGUGAGGGAUGGAGGCCUUCGGGUUGUGAACCUCUUUCGCCAGUGAAGCAGGCCUGCCUCGUUUGUGGGUGGGUUGACGGUAGCUGGAUAAGAAGCGCCGGCUAACUACGUG